rnacentral:tRNA from 1 species
GGUUUAAUAGUUUAUUUAAGAAUUUUAAAUUGCAAGUUUAAAGGAAUAAUUAAUGUUAUUUAAAUUU